rnacentral:rRNA from 1 species
UACGAAGGUCGCUAGCGUUGUUCGGAAUCACUGGGCGUAAAGCGCACGUAGGCGGCUCGUUAAGUCAGGGGUGAAAUCCUGGAGCUCAACUCCGGAACUGCCUUUGAUACUGGCGAUCUCGAGUCCGGGAGAGGUGAGUGGAACUGCGAGUGUAGAGGUGAAAUGCGUAGAUAUUCGCAAGAACACCAGUGGCGAAGGCGGCUCACUGGCCAGGUACUGACGCUGAGGUGCGAAAGCGUGGGGAGCAAACAGG